GCUUGCUGGAUGCUGACGAGCGGCGGACGGGUGAGUAAUGCAUAGGAAUCUGCCCGAUAGUGGGGGAUAACCUGGGGAAACCCAGGCUAAUACCGCAUACGUCCUACGGGAGAAAGGGGGCUCCGGCUCCCGCUAUGGGAUGAGCCUAUGUCGGAUUAGCUAGUUGGUGAGGUAACGGCUCACCAAGGCCACGAUCCGUAGCUGGUCUGAGAGGAUGAUCAGCCACAUCGGGACUGAGACACGGCCCGAACUCCUACGGGAGGCAGCAGUGGGGAAUAUUGGACAAUGGGGGCAACCCUGAUCCAGCCAUGCCGCGUGUGUGAAGAAGGCCCUCGGGUUGUAGAGCACUUUCAGCGAGGAAGAACGCCUAGCGGUUAAUACCCGCUAGGAAAGACAUCACUCGCAGAAGAAGCACCGGCUAACUCCGUGCCAGCAGCCGCGGUAAUACGGAGGGUGCAAGCGUUAAUCGGAAUUACUGGGCGUAAAGCGCGCGUAGGUGGCUUGAUAAGCCGGUUGUGAAAGCCCCGGGCUCAACCUGGGAACGGCAUCCGGAACUGUCAAGCUAGAGUGCAGGAGAGGAAGGUAGAAUUCCCGGUGUAGCGGUGAAAUGCGUAGAGAUCGGGAGGAAUACCAGUGGGCGAAAGGCGGCCUUCUGGACUGACACUGACACUGAGGUGCGAAAGCGUGGG
rnacentral:rRNA from 1 species